CUACGCACUCCUACGGGAGGCAGCAGUGGGGAAUAUUGCACAAUGGGCGCAAGCCUGAUGCAGCCAUGCCGCGUGUAUGAAGAAGGCCUUCGGGUUGUAAAGUACUUUCAGAAGUGAGGAAGGUGGGUAUGUUAAUAGCAUAUUCAUUUGACGUUAGCUGCAGAAGAAGCACCGGCUAACUCCGUGCCAGCAGCCGCGGUAAUACGGAGGGUGCGAGCGUUAAUCGGAAUUACUGGGCGUAAAGCGCAUGCAGGUGGUUUGUUAAGUCAGAUGUGAAAGCCCGGGGCUCAACCUCGGAAUUGCAUUUGAAACUGGCAAACUAGAGUACUGUAGAGGGGGUAGAAUUUCAGGUGUAGCGGUGAAAUGCGUAGAGAUCUGAAGGAAUACCGGUGGCGAAGGCGGCCCCCUGGACAGAUACUGACACUCAGAUGCGAAAGCGUGGGGAGCAAACAGGAUUAGAUACCCUGGUAG
rnacentral:rRNA from 1 species